GGUUAAGCGACUAAGCGUACACGGUGGAUGCCCUGGCAGUCAGAGGCGAUGAAGGACGUGCUAAUCUGCGAUAAGCGUCGGUAAGGUGAUAUGAACCGUUAUAACCGGCGAUUUCCGAAUGGGGAAACCCAGUGUGUUUCGACACACUAUCAUUAACUGAAUCCAUAGGUUAAUGAGGCGAACCGGGGGAACUGAAACAUCUAAGUACCCCGAGGAAAAGAAAUCAACCGAGAUUCCCCCAGUAGCGGCGAGCGAACGGGGAGCAGCCCAGAGCCUGAAUCAGUGUGUGUGUUAGUGGAAGCGUCUGGAAAGGCGCGCGAUACAGGGUGACAGCCCCGUACACAAAAAUGCACAUGCUGUGAGCUCGAUGAGUAGGGCGGGACACGUGGUAUCCUGUCUGAAUAUGGGGGGACCAUCCUCCAAGGCUAAAUACUCCUGACUGACCGAUAGUGAACCAGUACCGUGAGGGAAAGGCGAAAAGAACCCCGGCGAGGGGAGUGAAAAAGAACCUGAAACCGUGUACGUACAAGCAGUGGGAGCACGCUUAGGCGUGUGACUGCGUACCUUUUGUAUAAUGGGUCAGCGACUUAUAUUCUGUAGCAAGGUUAACCGAAUAGGGGAGCCGAAGGGAAACCGAGUCUUAACUGGGCGUUAAGUUGCAGGGUAUAGACCCGAAACCCGGUGAUCUAGCCAUGGGCAGGUUGAAGGUUGGGUAACACUAACUGGAGGACCGAACCGACUAAUGUUGAAAAAUUAGCGGAUGACUUGUGGCUGGGGGUGAAAGGCCAAUCAAACCGGGAGAUAGCUGGUUCUCCCCGAAAGCUAUUUAGGUAGCGCCUCGUGAAUUCAUCUCCGGGGGUAGAGCACUGUUUCGGCAAGGGGGUCAUCCCGACUUACCAACCCGAUGCAAACUGCGAAUACCGGAGAAUGUUAUCACGGGAGACACACGGCGGGUGCUAACGUCCGUCGUGAAGAGGGAAACAACCCAGACCGCCAGCUAAGGUCCCAAAGUCAUGGUUAAGUGGGAAACGAUGUGGGAAGGCCCAGACAGCCAGGAUGUUGGCUUAGAAGCAGCCAUCAUUUAAAGAAAGCGUAAUAGCUCACUGGUCGAGUCGGCCUGCGCGGAAGAUGUAACGGGGCUAAACCAUGCACCGAAGCUGCGGCAGCGACACUAUGUGUUGUUGGGUAGGGGAGCGUUCUGUAAGCCUGUGAAGGUGUGCUGUGAGGCAUGCUGGAGGUAUCAGAAGUGCGAAUGCUGACAUAAGUAACGAUAAAGCGGGUGAAAAGCCCGCUCGCCGGAAGACCAAGGGUUCCUGUCCAACGUUAAUCGGGGCAGGGUGAGUCGACCCCUAAGGCGAGGCCGAAAGGCGUAGUCGAUGGGAAACAGGUUAAUAUUCCUGUACUUGGUGUUACUGCGAAGGGGGGACGGAGAAGGCUAUGUUGGCCGGGCGACGGUUGUCCCGGUUUAAGCGUGUAGGCUGGUUUUCCAGGCAAAUCCGGAAAAUCAAGGCUGAGGCGUGAUGACGAGGCACUACGGUGCUGAAGCAACAAAUGCCCUGCUUCCAGGAAAAGCCUCUAAGCAUCAGGUAACAUCAAAUCGUACCCCAAACCGACACAGGUGGUCAGGUAGAGAAUACCAAGGCGCUUGAGAGAACUCGGGUGAAGGAACUAGGCAAAAUGGUGCCGUAACUUCGGGAGAAGGCACGCUGAUAUGUAGGUGAAGCGACUUGCUCGUGGAGCUGAAAUCAGUCGAAGAUACCAGCUGGCUGCAACUGUUUAUUAAAAACACAGCACUGUGCAAACACGAAAGUGGACGUAUACGGUGUGACGCCUGCCCGGUGC
rnacentral:rRNA from 1 species